AGGGAGAGAUACAAACAUUGGGGGGACUGAGAGGAGAGACCAAGGGAGAGAUACAAACAUUGGGGGGACUGAGAGGAGAGACCAAGAGAGAGAUACAAACAUUGGGGGGACUGAGAGGAGAGACCAAGAGAGAGAUACAAACAUUGGGGGGACUGAGAGGAGAGACAGAGUGAGAAACACAAACAUUUGGGGACUGAGAGGAGAGACCAAGGGAGAGAUACAAACAUUGGGGGGACUGAGAGGAGAGACCAAGAGAGAGAUACAAACAUUGGGGGGACUGAGAGGAGAGACCAAGAGAGAGAUACAAACAUUGGGGGGACUGAGAGGAGAGACAGAGUGAGAAACACUGAGAGGAGAGACAUACAAACAUUGGGGGGACUGAGAGGAGAGACCAAGAGAGAGAUACAAACAUUGGGGGGACUGAGAGGAGAGACCAAGAGAGAUACAAACACCAUCAUGAAUGAGUCCCGGAAUCUCUCACUUCCUCUCUAAAUAAAGACUGCAAAACCGUGAAGCAACAUGAAAAAGUAAAUAAAAUGUAUCUAUAAUGGAAAAAGCACUUUUAUACUUAGAGUAAUCGCCUAUAGACGUCAUCAGAGACAUCUUUAAAUGAUGUACCAGUGAUAACAGAGAGGAUAUCAUCAGAGAGAUCUUUACAGGAUGGACCAGUGAUGGCAGAGAGGACAUCAUCAGAGACAUCUUUACAGGAUGGACCACGAUGGCAGUGCCCAGACCUAAUUUUUAACUUGUCCUUUACACCUUUAGUUCCUCUUCCUGUUUCUUUUUUAAUUGUUCAUUUUCAUUACUUUCCCAGACUGGGUUUCUGUUUCCUGGGCCUCAGUCUCACCAUUAGUCCCCACCAUUAUCCAUUUUGUAUUAUCUCUGUAUUAUCUCUGUAUCUACCUGGUUCCUGAAAGUUCUAAAUCAGUUGUAACCUCUACACCCUCCAUUGCAGUCUGCUCCUUCCACAUGUCAUGUCCCAUUUUCUGCUCGACAUACCAUUAUUUUUCUCUCCAACUUUACGAGUCGUUUAGUCCCCCAGAACUUUCCCAAUAAUAACAUCAUUAUCCCUCCUUCAGCAGC